CAUAGCAGCUGGCGCUGGCCGGGGGAGCUCUGGGCCCAGCAGGGACAAAUCAAGAAAGAUCCAGCUGCUCCUAAUUGUUCAAGGGCGGGAGCUUGGGCCUGCAAACGGCCCAUCUGCAGAGGAGGAGGCCGGUGGUCAGAGGCAGGAAUCGGGGGUGGAGGGACAUCAGUAGUUGGCAGGGUCAGACCGGAUUUGCCAGGAGAGCCAAUAGACAUACAAAUAUAAGAAGACACGUCGAUAACUUUGAACCCUAAAGUCAGCAUAGAGCACUGCACUAAAAAUCAUGAUAGCCAACCGGGAAAGGAAGGGAGCGAGAUGGAGGGUCCCAAAUUCUAUGGGAUCUAAACAGAGCAUGCUUCGUUCCAGUUGCAUUCCUGCUCCAUUCCAUUCCUCUUCAAGGAGGAGGACCAAUCCUCGUCUAUUAGAGAGCCCAAGGCCCAUGGGAGAGAUGUGAGAGAGAUGUUGACCCUGUCCCCCACCCCUGCAAAAUCGCCCAGUGCGUCCUGACAAGCAGGAUUAGUAGCAAUGUACUGCUUGCUCUUACCACUUAUAUUGUCCUGAUUUUCUUCUGUCGCUUUGGGGUUACUUAUCAUUUCAAUCUUUCCUUGUGUGUCAAUCACCAACCCUCCCUUGUUUCUGAAUGCGUAUCCCAUGUGAGCUUGAGUCCAUAUCUGAAUUAUCAUCCUUCACUCUUCCC